UACGUAGGGGGCUAGCGUUGUCCGGAAUUAUUGGGCGUAAAGAGCUCGUAGGCGGUUCGUCGCGUCGGCUGUGAAAUCCCGAGGCUCAACCUCGGGUCUGCAGUCGAUACGGGCGGACUAGAGUUCGGAAGAGGCGAGUGGAAUUCCCGGUGUAGCGGUGAAAUGCGCAGAUAUCGGGAGGAACACCUAUGGCGAAGGCAGCUCGCUGGGACGUUACUGACGCUGAGACGCGAAGCGUGGGGAGCAAACAGG
rnacentral:rRNA from 1 species